UCUUUCGUUUGAUUCCAAUAGGACACAGCUUCUUUUAGAGUUUUCUCCAGGUUUCUAAGUUUGUAACUGAGUCCUUCGACCUUAUCUUUGGAUUGCUCUUCAAAGUGCCCCAUAGCUGCUUGCAGGGAAAGUAUUUGAGUUGUGAGGCACUUGAUACUUUCCUGAUUUUGCUUUUCACAUAUUGACAUCUCUUUUUUCUCUUCAUGUAAUUUGGCUAUCUCAUCUUGAACUUCCUUUAAGCUUUCAAGAGCACAUUCUAUUUCUUUUCUCAAAAGUGUAAUGGUAUCAUCUCUUUCACGGGCAUCCUUGCAAACAUUUCUUGGUUUAGGGCUGUUUUUGUCAUAUCCACUGUUGGCCAAUUUAAAGGAUAAGUCAGCCAUCUCAGCUAUUUGAUGAUGAGUUUCAGAAGUUGCCUGCAACAAUAACAAAUUAGCAACAUAUUGAUUAAAUACCAUUCGCAACACCCAUGAACAAAAUAACAUUAGCUAUAUUAAAUGAUCCAAAAGUACAUUUUAGAUUACCCUUGGUUCUCCAUUAUAAUCAAAUUGUUAGGUGUAUACAUCCAAUAUAUUUCUAUAUCAAGACUUCAGAAUGAAAAGAAAAGAAAAAAAAAACAAACAAGCAAAAUACUAAAUAAAAAAUCAUUCACAGACCACACCAAUGAAUAAAAUAAAUGUGGCAUGCAUUGGCCAUACUAAUCUAUUAAAAUAUAGCAUUAGCUUACCCUUGAUUCACCAAUAUCAUCGUUGUAUGACGUGCAUACAUCCAACAAAUUUCUAUUCUCAAGACAUUUGGAAUUAUCUGCAAAAGAGGCCAUGGAUGACCUGAUUGAGGAUACACCAUCUUGUAAUGUUAAUAGUUGCUCCCUUGUCUCUGAAAUAAUAUUCUUUUCAAUAUCUUCAACCUUUUGUUCCAAAGCAAAAGAGUGCUCUUUCUCCUCAGACAGCUUUUGCCAUAAAUUGUCACAUUUUUCCCGCAACUCAGCUAUCUGCCUCUCUGCUUGUUCAAGCGUAGUGGAUUGAUCAAUGAGAAGAGUAUCCUUCCUGACAUUAUUUUCUGCCAGUUCACCAAGCAAAUUAUUCUUGUGCUUUAGGUCAACAAGAUAACCACGAUUCACAUCUGACAGCCUAUUCACAACUACAAAAGCCACUGUUGCACAAUUUGAUGUUUUCUGGAUUCGAUCUUCAGCCAAUAUCAACUGCUCCUCCAACGAUUUCACAGAAGAUGUUUUUUCACUCAGUUGUGAAGUCAGCAGGAGAAUUUCUUUCUCUAUUUCUGCAUACUCCUUCUGGUGGGCUUCAGUCAUUACAAGUGUUGCACUUCGUAAGGAAUUCAGCAUAGACUCCAUAUCACUUCUUUUAUUGCUAGCAUCCUCCAAACAUCUUCCGAGUUCAUCAAUUAGUAGUUCCUUCUCAGAGAUUUUCCUAACCAUCAUGCCAACUUGUUCAGAAAUCCAUAUCCUUUUCUGUGGAAACGAAUUUCUUAUACGAUCAAGUUCAUCAGAGGCAACAUCUAGUGCCUGACAUCCAUCAGCAAGAAUCUCUUCAAUCUCAGAGGUUAACAAUUCCCAUUCUUCUGCCAUUGAUUUAAGUUCAUUAUCUCUAUGCCAAAGCUCUUCACUUAAACUUUGGUUAUCAUCAACAGCAGUAAGCAAUUUUUCUUGCAUGUCCUUCAGUUCAGCUUCCAUUUGCAAUAUCCGCUCUUUCAUUUCUAUUUCCUUCUGAUGGCUAUCAUUUACUUGAUGUUGUAGCUGAGCAAGUUCUUCCUGCAUACAGAGAAUCACCUCGGCAGUUUCAGCCUCAGCCUGCCGGCGAACUUCAUCCAUCUCUUCCUCAUUAGAUAUUUGGAGGGCACGAUCACUUUGGUAAAACAUGUUCAGUUGCUUGGCUUUUUCAAGAGAAUCAUGCAUCCUUCUGAAUCGUACCUGUAAAGGGUACUCAUUAUCAAUCUUCGGAUGAUUGGAAGAUAAACUGUCUCUUAAAUCUUUAGAUGCAAGUUGAUUCUUCAAAGCCAUGAUCUCAUGCUCUUGUUUAUUAACAAGUUCCAGAUAAUUGUUGUUCUUGUUCUGCAUGUCUUCUAUCUCUUUGAUUGAUAAAACCUGUUGAGAUUCCAAAGCUUCAAUUACAGAUUUUGUCACUUUCAGUUCAUUAUUUGCAUCUUCUAAUUGUUUGUUUGCCAGCAAAAGCUUGUCUUUUUCCAUUAGAAUUUCAUGAUUUAAGCAUGUUGCUCGCUCCUCCAAUAUACCACGGGAAAUCCUCUCUUCCUUCAGAAUGAUCUUUAUUAUAUCUAACUCCAGGUGCAAAUCCAAGAUAUCAUCCGUAUGUUUUAGCAAAUGAGGUUCAUGCUUCACCUUUGUGGCAUUUGUGUUGUUGGACAUUGA
rnacentral:lncRNA from 1 species